rnacentral:piRNA from 1 species
UAAAUGAAAAUUAAUGUUUUACAAACACAAG